GCAAGUCUGGUGCCAGCAGCCGCGGUAAUUCCAGCUCCAAUAGCGUAUAUUAAAGUUGUUGCAGUUAAAAAGCUCGUAGUUGAAUUUCGGGAUCAGUACGCCGGUCGUGCCUUCGGUAUGCACUGGUGUCACUGGUUUCUCCCUUCUGAAGAACCAUCAUGCCAUUCAGUUGGUGUGGCGGGGAAUCAGGACUGUUACUUUGAAAAAAUUAGAGUGUUUAAAGCAGGCUCGCGCUUGAAUACAUUAGCAUGGAAUAAUGAAAUAGGACGUUUGACCCUAUUUUGUUGGUUUCUAGGAUCGACGUAAUGAUUAAUAGGGAUAGUUGGGGGCAUUAGUAUUCAAUUGUCAGAGGUGAAAUUCUUGGAUUUAUUGAAGACUAACUACUGCGAAAGCAUUUGCCAAGGAUGUUUUCAUUAAUCAAGAACGAAAGUUAGGGGAUCGAAGACGAUCAGAUACCGUCGUAGUCUUAACCAUAAACUAUGCCGACUAGGGAUCGGAUGAUGUUAAUUUUUUAAUGACUCAUUCGGCGCCUUACGGGAAAC
rnacentral:rRNA from 1 species